AAUAUUGCGCAAUGGAGGGAACUCUGACGCAGCGACGCCGCGUGAGCGAUGAAGGUCUUCGGAUCGUAAAGCUCUGUCCUUGGGGAAGAAGGUCUUCGGACUUUGCGGUACCUUAGGAGGAAACCGCGGCUAACUACGUGCCAGCAGCCGCGGUAAUACGUAGGGGGUAAGCGUUGUCCGGAAUUAUUGGGAGUAAAGGGUGCGUAGGCGGGCUUUUAAGUCAGAUGUGAAAGCCCACGGCUUAACCGUGGGACUGCAUUUGAAACUGGAGGGCUUGAGUAUCGGAGAGGGUAGUGGAAUUCCCAGUGUAGCGGUGGAAUGCGUAGAUAUCGGGAGGAACACCAGUGGCGAAGGCGACUACCUGGACGAAAACUGACGCUGAGGCACGAAAGCUAGGGGAGCAAAC
rnacentral:rRNA from 1 species